GACGAACGCUGGCGGCGUGCUUAACACAUGCAAGUCGAACGGUGAUGCUCCAGCUUGCUGGCGUGGAUCAGUGGCGAACGGGUGAGUAACACGUGAGCAACCUGCCCCAGACUCUGGAAUAAGCGCUGGAAACGGCGUCUAAUACUGGAUACGAAACUGGCCCGCAUGGGCAUGGUUUGGAAAGUUUUUCGGUUUGGGAUGGGCUCGCGGCCUAUCAGCUUGUUGGUGAGGUAAUGGCUCACCAAGGCGACGACGGGUAGCGGGCCUGAGAGGGCGACCGGCCACACUGGGACUGAGACACGGCCCAGACUCCUACGGGAGGCAGCAGUGGGGAAUAUUGCACAAUGGGCGAAAGCCUGAUGCAGCGACGCCGCGUGAGGGAUGACGGCCUUCGGGUUGUAAACCUCUUUCAGCAGGGAAGAAGCGAAAGUGACGGUACCUGCAGAAGAAGCACCGGCUAACUACGUG
rnacentral:rRNA from 1 species